GUAAGGACAAUAGACACAAAACGGUUUGGUAUAUAUACAUGUAUAAGGAUAUUUUCAUUUUAUUUGGACACAUAUUAUACACUGUUAACUAAAAAAUGUACCAGACGAUAUCCAAGUUAACUACCAAAGUCCAAGUUAUAUUUCUUUUGUGCAUUGUAUCCCAAAGAAUAUUCAUAACAUAGUCUUUCCAUUUUUACUGUUGAUUAUGUUCUCCAUCAGGUCUGGGUGACCUAUAAUUAUUUAAAACUUUAAACUGUUCAUAGGUACAAUAUCCAUUUGUAUAAUUGUCAUUGGCUAAAUUUAUAGAGCAGCUCAACUGAACACUUUUUAUUAGUUAAGUCUUCUAAAUUUAAUAAAUACCAAUAUCAUUCUGUACAUGAAAUAAAUGUUUGAUUUGUAUUUAUUAGGGGUCCCAGUGGGUGCAGAAGGUAUUCCAUCAAGGAAUAGGCCUUCUGAUGGGUCCUUGGAAGAUCCGCGUCCUGUAAAAUUCCGUAAAGUGCCAGGCUACUAAGAUUAUGUUAGAAGUCUACUAAUCAACUACUGUUCCAUGACAUCAGAAGAUAUUGCUCUCCGAUAUCUCUUCGGAAAGGCCAAUAUACAGGUUGCUGCUGUUGAUCAUUAUUAGACUAGAAUUCCAUUGACACAGUACUGGGUAGAUGAAGUAAACAUGGUAACACAAGCAGAUGUUGGGAGAAUCGAAAAAGAAACUUGCAACAAGCAUCUUUGAAAUUAUGGUUUCAUCACAGAUCCUGGCGUCUGACAGAUUCAAGAUUUGGAAAAAUCAGCAAGCUUACUUCACAAAGAAAUAUUACUAAACUAUGUUAAAAUCUGAUGUCUGUUAACAAUGCUAUGCAAAACAGUGCCUUGGCACAUGGUAAAAACUAUGAGUCAAAGGCACUGAAGUCAUUUGAGUCAAGAUACAACUGUAAAACAAGACCAGUUUUGUUUAUGCAUUUCAAGAUCUAAACCCUAUUAGGUGCAACACCAGAUGCAUUAUUGUAUGAUGAUUGUCUUGUAGAAGUUAAAUGUCCAUAUUCAGGAAGAAAUGAUAUGAUUCUUCCUGACAAGUUUUUCAGAUUUUUA